UUAAUAAUUUAUAUAUAAUAUUUUAUGAUAUUUAUAUAAUAUUAACAUAAUUCAUAUUACUAUUAUUAUUAGUAUAUGAAAUUUUACUUUGAGAAAAUUAGAGUGCUUAAAGCAGGCUUUUGCCUUGAAUACUCCAGCAUGGAGUAAUAUAAAAGAUUUUUAUCUUUUUUAUUGGUUCUAAGAUAAAAAUAAUGAUUAAUAGGGACAGUUGGGGGCAUUUGUAUUUAACAGUCAGAGGUGAAAUUCUUAGAUUUGUUAAAGACAAACUAGUGCGAAAGCAUUUGCCAAGGAUGUUUUCAUUAAUCAAGAACGAAAGUUAGGGGAUCGAAGACGAUCAGAUACCGUCGUAGUCUUAACCAUAAACUAUGCCAACUAGAGAUUGGAGGUUGUU
rnacentral:rRNA from 1 species